CAUUAUGAAGCUACAGCAGCGUUAACCUUUUAAGUUAGAGAUAGAGAGUAAUCUCUCCAUAAUGA
rnacentral:tRNA from 1 species